GAUGAACGCUGGCGGCGUGCCUAACACAUGCCAGUCGAGCGAAUAGAACAGCUGUUUGUUUCUCUUACGUUAGCGACCGACGGCUUAGCACCUGGUCGAUAUCCUCUCCUCUUGACUAUCACCACGGCGACCCACGGGAGCUAACACCGGAUACAAUAUUGAACCGCAUGGACCAAUAGACAACUUUUGCUUUGCAGUCACGUACCACUGGAUCCGAGCCGCAUUAGCUAGUUGGUAAGUUAACGGCUUACCAAGGCUACGUUGCGUAGCCGACCUGAGAGGGUGAACGGCCACACUGGAACUGAGACACGGUCCAGACUCCUACGGGAGGCAGCAGUAGGGAAUCUUCCGCAAUGGGCGAAAGCCUGACGGAGCAACGACGUGUGAGUGAUGAAGGUCUUCGGAUCGUAAAACUCUGUUAUUAGGGAAGAACAAAUGUGUAAGUAACUAUGCACGUCUUGACGGUACCUAAUCAGAAAGCCACGGCUAACUACGUG
rnacentral:rRNA from 1 species